UUGCCAGCCCGCUCAGAAACUUAACGGAAUUGACGGGGGCCCGCACAAGCGGUGGAGUAUGUGGUUUAAUUCGAUGCAACGCGAAGAACCUUACCUGGUCUUGACAUCCCGGAGACCCUUAGGAAACUAGGGGGUGCUUCCAUCUGGAAGAAUCUGGAGACAGGUGCUGCAUGGCUGUCGUCAGCUCGUGUCGUGAGAUGUUGGGUUAAGUCCCGCAACGAGCGCAACCCUUGCCUUUAGUUGCCAGCAGUUCGGCUGGGCACUCUAAAGGGACUGCCGGUGUUAAACCGGAGGAAGGUGGGGAUGACGUCAAGUCCUCAUGGCCUUUAUGACCAGGGCUACACACGUACUACAAUGGCCGAUACAAAGGGCAGCGACACUGCGAGGUGAAGCCAAUCCCGUAAAAUCGGUCUCAGUCCGGAUUGGAGUCUGCAACUCGACUCCAUGAAGUUGGAAUCGCUAGUAAUCGUGGAUCAGCAUGCCACGGUGAAUACGUUCCCGGGCCUU
rnacentral:rRNA from 1 species